rnacentral:lncRNA from 1 species
AGGAGUUAAGACUUAGCGUCUGAGUCAGUUAUUUGAAGCUACACAGUUACGUGAAAGUGGAACCAAAAUUGGUUGGAGAGCUCUCCUCAUCGUAGCAACCCCAGGACUCUGGCAAACAGAGGCUCCGUCUCAAAGUGGACUUCGGCAGAGACUGCACCACGGGGAAGAGAAUGACGAGAAUCACCCACUGACUUCAAAAGCUUCCACGCACAUUUAUUCGGCCAAAACAUGUCAUAUGGCCAUGGCUGUGAAAGGCAAUGGAGAAGUACAAGCCCACUGUGUGCCUAGACGGAGAACCAGAACAUGUGGGACCAGUCUUAAUGACUCACGCAGCGUGUGUGACCACGAUGUUGUACUAUGUGCUUCUAACACAGCUAGCUUUCCUGCUGCUUUAAUGCCAGCACUUUCUGGUUCCAAAUCUAAAGAAACAGCCGGUACUCACAGUCCUCCUUCCCUGGCCUGUGCUCGGCCCUGCCUGGUCCAGGACCCUCACU